AUCUGAUAGAUGAGCGUCCUUAAGAAGAUCUCCUUGGUAACACUCUUCACAUACCCCAUUCAGGCAAGAGGACGAUCUCUCAAGAACACAGGAAGCAGGCUCUGCUGGGAGCUUCAGAAGAGUUGCAGCCUGCAGUCCACUCAACACCCAACCAGCCAGGAGAAGGAAGUCUGUGUUAAGCUGCCGCCUGUGGGACUGUGCUAACACAGCCAAGUUGACUGCUUCAGAGAAGAGACUGAGAAGGGGCCCCUUUUACCUGAGUGACCAGCAGGAGGAUGUCGACAAACAAACCCCUUAAAGGUGGAUGCUCCCAGAAGCCACAUCAGCAUCCAGUCCCCGUGCAGCCUUGCUGCCACCCGCUUGGUCCUCAGGUGGCUCUGAGCAGAAGGGAGCCAGUCUGACCUUCAGCAUCAGAUGGUGCAGUCUCUAAAGGGGUCAGUCACAAGGAGGCCAAGGGCAGGAGCACCAGAGAGAAACCAGGGCCACGAGCUUCAGUUCCAACCCUGGCCCUAGCCUUCCUGGCUGUGUGAGCCAAGUCCCAAGGAUGGAAUUUAGGCCUUCAGUCCUCAGAGCGAGUUCUUUAUCAACUGAACUAUGGCUGUCCACAAACUGGUGAUUCUCCUGCCCUCAUUGACCAAUGGCUCCCAUUACACCUGGCUGCUAUAUUUUCUCAAUACACAUUAGAAUAGUCCUGCAACUGGUCACUGAUGUUGCCUCCUUGAUUUUUAGAGAUUUUGGAGAUGAGAGCAAUGGGGUGCAGGGAGAGAAGCCGCUAGCGGGAGUCACAUCUGUGACCUCGGAGUGAAACACAGGCAGGUGGCAGGUUCACUCUGGGUGGUGGAAAGCCAGGCCAGCCAGGUGUCCCCUUUGUCUCUAUCUUAUCAUCCUCUCUAGAAGUAUCUUUGGUUCUACCCCAGUCUGAAGCCAAAGUAGCCAGGGAGAAACAACUGCCUUCUUGGGUCAGCCACUCUGGUCCGUGCACUCCAGUGUGAGAGUGUACGUGAAAUCACAUCUGGGAAGGCUGUUACAUAGAGAUGGGACCCAAGGAUGAUUGGCUGGGAUGAAGAGACUCCACCCUACCCUGACUGCUUCUUAAGUUCCUACAGGCCCCAUCUGUGUCAGGUUGGCUCUGGGAACUGCCUGCAGUGUGCACACCAUUGCAGCCUGUUAAGACAUUGAAGCUCCACCCUGUCUUAGGAGGAGCAGGGGCAGUAGACAGAGAGGUCCUCCACCCCUUCAUCUGUGUCUCUUACACAGUGGUGAGCAGAAGCCCCAGGGUGUUUUCAUACUGUCAGGAUACCAGGCCCUUCAUCCUGGAGUCCCGUCAUGGUGGACAGGUUUGACCCUCGACAACGACAGGGCAGCUAGGGUGGGAAUGGCUCUGGCAACACACUGCCAGCCGUCUCCUCAGCCCCGCUUGGCUACACAUUGCUGUCCACCAUCUCCAAGCUUGGUUCCUUUCCUAGGUGCCACCACUAGAAAAUGUGAGUCAGUCCUUCUAUGUGCCAGGCUCCCAAGAGACAGUGCUGUCUUGGCGACCUUGACACUCCACUCAUGGGAGCCCCAUCUGCUGCUGGAGUUAGCUCUGAACACUACCCUGGGGAUAGGACUUCCCUUCCCCUGGCUUGUGCCUGGUAGCCUUUCCUGAAUCUCCUCAGCACGAUGGCCGGCAGCCUGAGCAGCCACAGCUACAAUGCAAUUCUUGUCACUUGGUUUCCACUCUGGCUAGUUCCGUGGUCCCUGCUUUUAGCUGGCAGAUUAGAGAAAGAGAGAUUUGCAUAGCAAUAAAAAAGUAAUUAAAAUCACCAACACAUGAAAAGCCCAUUAUAAGAUUCCCUGGGAAAGACGCCUCCCCUGGUCAGGAAAGAUACAGUGAGCGGGUGGGGGUGGCGAACCAAUUA